GAGGGCACCCCCCGAAACGGGCUGCACCCCACAACUGCGCGCGUAGCCCGUGGGAGGUGUUUUUGGCGGGGGGUCGGGAAGUCGUGGCGUACGUACCCCCGGCGGGCCUGGGCAGGCCGAACUCGGAGGUGCGAGGAGCGGCUAGGGUUGGCGGCGGUCGCUUCUGGAGCUGGAAGGGCAGAUCUAGUCAGAAACGCGCUAUUUUGUGCACACCUGUAAAUAGGCGUUAAAACGUGAUUGCUAGCUGAAUGUCUGAUCGUUUGGACAUAAACUGCAGUGAGAAGUGUCAGACCGAACAUCAGACAUCUUUUAACACCAUUUCCAGGUUACAAAUUUAGCCUGGUAAGGGCUGAAGGAAUCCAAAGAGCACAGGUGCGCACCUUUCUUGGGCCCUUCCCCGAGGGGGCAGUCAGUGUGCUCGCUUCCACCAAUGGCGCUGGGUGAACUUUUCUCUUUCAGAAGUCUAGCACCAGAACAUCGCAGCUGUGAGGGGACAAAUGAAGCGUAACGGCAUGAAUGCUCUGGGAAGCUGCACCCUCACUGUCAGUGGCUGAGCACCACCCUCAUUAAGUUUGCAAUUGCCUGGAUGUAUUUUGCUCUGGGCUUACCUACUGCUUUAUCACGUCAUAAAUGCAGGAGGCUGGGUUUCCAUUUUGACCUAACUCUGACUGGCCUUAUAACACCAUGUGCAGAAGUGGUCCAAAACCAAGAUCCAGCUGCAGGAACAGUUGUACGUUCCCCCUCACAGUCGGCUGCAGUGAGGACAUGGUGGAUGUGCCCUCCUAAUGUCAAAACUGAAGUUGCUAAUCUUGUUAUUGAGGAACAUUUGCAGAGCAGGAGUUAAGGUGGCUGUGAGGCAGCCAUGUGCUGAAGAUCAAACCAAGUGUACAGAGCUAGAAGAGUGGCUUGAAGCCAUAUUUCGUGAUAAUGGUGAUGAUGAUGAUGAAUGGUGAUUAACUCCUGUACCCCACCCUCCAUUUCUGACCAGCCACACCUGGGAAUGUAGAACCCAUCCUAUUGCUCAUCUAAGCCUCCUAUAACACAACUCUUCUAAAGCUGGGAAGCGCUAGACAAGGGUCUGUAUUACGGGUGCGCUCUACUUGGCACCACUGUGCAUGGCCUCCUCGUUUCCCUGGCAGAGGACCUAUUUCACAUACAGCUGUAUUGUACAUUGGAGCAAUGCACAGAACUCCAGCUGUAAGGAAGAUUACACUUGACGUGAACUCCAUUACAUAUUAAACUGCUAAUUGAGAAGCAACCCACACCUUCCACCAGCUGUUUGGGAUAUGUGUUUGAAUAUGCCCCUCAGGUUCAGCGCUUACCUCCAGCUGCCUAUGGCACUGGCCAAACCAAGAGCAGUCAGUCGCAGGAGGGUCCCUGACCGUCCAGCCUGCAGGAUAAGACCCCCAUCACGUUGCGGGAGCAGGGGGUGCGGCGGGCACAACGGAGAGCCGCUCCGGGCACGGGGAAGGAAGGG